rnacentral:rRNA from 1 species
UGGGGAAUAUUGCACAAUGGGCGCAAGCCUGAUGCAGCCAUGCCGCGUGUAUGAAGAAGGCCUUCGGGUUGUAAAGUACUUUCAGCGGGGAGGAAGGGAGUAAAGUUAAUACCUUUGCUCAUUGACGUUACCCGCAGAAGAAGCACCGGCUAACUCCGUGCCAGCAGCCGCGGUAAUACGGAGGGUGCAAGCGUUAAUCGGAAUUACUGGGCGUAAAGCGCACGCAGGCGGUCUGUCAAGUCGGAUGUGAAAUCCCCGGGCUCAACCUGGGAACUGCAUUCGAAACUGGCAGGCUAGAGUCUUGUAGAGAGGGGUAGAAUUCCAGGUGUAGCGGUGAAAUGCGUAGAGAUCUGGAGGAAUACCGGUGGCGAAGGCGGCCCCCUGGACAAAGACUGACGCUCAGGUGCGAAAGCGUGGGGAGCAACCAGG